rnacentral:rRNA from 1 species
GAUGAACGCUGGCGGCGUGCCUAAUACAUGCAAGUCGAGCGAACAGACGAGGCGCUUGCUCCUCGGACGUUAGCGGCGGACGGGAGAGUAACACGUGUAUAACCUACCUAUAAUACUGGGAUAACUUCGGGAAACCGGAGCUAAUACCGUAUAACAUGCUGAACCGCAUGGUGCAACAGUAAAAGACGGUCUUGCUGUCACUUAUAGAUGGAUCCGCGCCGCAUUAGCUAGUUGGUAAGUUAACGGCUUACCAAGGCAACGAUGCGUAGCCGACCUGUGAGGGUGGUCGGCCACCCUGGAACGGAGCCACGGUCCAGACUCCUACGGGAGGCAGCAGUAGGCAAUGUUCCGCAAUGGGCGAAAUCAUGACAGAGCAACGCCGAGUGAGUGAAGAAGGUCUUCGGAUCGUAAAACUCUGUUAUUAGGGAUGAACAAAUGUGUAAGUAACUAUGCCCGUAUUGACGGUACCUAAUAAGAAAGCCACGGCUAACUACGUG